rnacentral:rRNA from 1 species
UGCCAGCAGCCGCGGUAAUACGAAGGUGGCUAGCGUUGUUCGGAAUCACUGGGCAUAAAGCGCGUGUAGGCGGCUUUGCAAGUCGGGUGUGAAAUCCCUCAGCUCAACUGAGGAACUGCACCCGAAACUGCAAGGCUUGAGGCCUGGAGGGGAGAACGGAAUUCCUGGUGGAGCGGUGAAAUGCGUAGAUAUCAGGAGGAACACCGGCGGCGAAAGCGGUUCUCUGGACAGGUUCUGACGCUGAGACGCGAAAGCUAGGGGAGCAAACGGGAUUAGAUA